GAGAGUGAGACAGGUUCAGGAAUAGAAAGACAGAUUAAUUUCAGCCUUUAGGAAUGAGAGUGAGACAGGUUUUACAUGGAGUUACGGAAUGAGAGUGAGACAGGUUUUACAUGGAGUUACGGAAUGAGAGUGAGACAGGUUUUACAUGGAGUUACGGAAUGAGAGUGAGACAGGUUUUACAUGGAGUUAUGGAAUGAGAGUGAGACAGGUUUUACAUGGAGUUACGGAAUGAGAGUGAGACAGGUUUUACAUGGAGUUAUGGAAUGAGAGUGAGACAGGUUUUACAUGGAGUUAUGGAAUGAGAGAGAGACAAAUAUUUAAUUACACACAGGAAUGAAGAGAGAGACAGGUUUAACUGGAGUUAUGGAAUGAGAGUGAGACACCUUUAUGUAAAAUUGUGAAACAUCACUAAGACAGAGAUUAAGACGCAGAGAGAGUGAGACAGGUUUAACUGGAGUUAUGACUGGAGAAUAUGAAAGGAGAGUGAGACGGGUUUGUAUUAGUCAGUGCGACACGUUUCCUUCCUCUGACCCUUUUCAGUAGCUUGUGCAGGAUAAACAUCUUAUUUCUCUAAUAAACUUGUACACUUUUAUAAAUAAAUAAAAUACAUUCUAAAAACACACCUAGAGUGAGACAGGUCUAGCUGCAGGCAUGAGGCGAGAGUGAGACAGGUCUAGCUGCAGGCAUGAGGCGAGAGUGAGACAGCUGUGUGAUUUACAGUAAGAAUAAAUAAAGUGUGGGCUUCACAGACAGGGGAUUACUGAAGCACAGUGCUGGAGUUAAAGAGGCUCAGUCCGCUCAGCUGUGGACAUGAUAAUGACUACACACACACACACACACACACACACACACACACACACACACACACACACACACACACACACACACACA